CCUACGGGAGGCAGCAGUGAGGAAUAUUGGUCAAUGGGCGCUAGCCUGAACCAGCCAAGUAGCGUGAAGGAUGACUGCCCUAUGGGUUGUAAACUUCUUUUAUAUGGGAAUAAAGUGCAGUAUGUAUACUGCUUUGCAUGUACCUUAUGAAUAAGGAUCGGCUACUCCGUGCCAGCAGCCGCGGUAAUACGGAGGAUUCGAGCGUUAACCGGAUUUAUUGGGGUUAAAGGGAGCGUAGGCGGGUUGUUAAGUCAGUUGUGAAAGUUUGCGGCUCAACCGUAAAAUUGCAGUUGAUACUGGCAUCCUUGAGUACAGUAGAGGUAGGCGGAAUUCGUGGUGUAGCGGUGAAAUGCUUAGAUAUCACGAAGAACUCCGAUUGCGAAGGCAGCCUGCUGGACUGUAACUGACGCUGAUGCUCGAAAGUGUGGGUAUCAAACAGGAUUAGAUACCCUAGUAGUC
rnacentral:rRNA from 1 species